GACGAACGCUGGCGGCGUGCCUAAUACAUGCAAGUCGAGCGGAUGGAAGGAAGCUUGCUUCCUAAAGUCAGCGGCGGACGGGUGAGUAACACGUGGGCAACCUGCCCCAAAGAUCGGGAUAACUUCGGGAAACCGGAGCUAAUGCCGGAUAUGAUUAUAUCUCACAUGAGACAUAAUGGAAAGACGGUUUCGGCUGUCACUUAGGGAUGGGCCCGCGGCGCAUUAGCUAGUUGGUGAGGUAACGGCUCACCAAGGCGACGAUGCGUAGCCGACCUGAGAGGGUGAUCGGCCACACUGGGACUGAGACACGGCCCAGACUCCUACGGGAGGCAGCAGUAGGGAAUCUUCCGCAAUGGACGAACGUCUGACGGAGCAACGCCGCGUGAGUGAAGAAGGUUUUCGGAUCGUAAAACUCUGUUGUUAGGGAAGAACAAGUACCAUAGUAACUGAUGGUACCUUGACGGUACCUAACCAGAAAGCCACGGCUAACUACGUGCCAGCAGCCGCAGUAAUAC
rnacentral:rRNA from 1 species